CAGUGUUCCAUCAUAUGGGAAGACUAGAAGUGUUCCAGUGUACGGGAAGACUAGAAUUUAUUUACCCAGUUCCCAACUCAUGCACAGCUGGGUUGUUUCCAGCUUCUUGCUGUUACCAUCUAUGCUGCAAUGAAUGUCCUUGUACAUGAUUCAUGGUGCACAAAGCCAGUUCGUAGCUGCAUGGCAUUCUUUGUCAUGGCAAAACAACUCAAAACAUUCUAAGCCGCCCAUGAAGAGGGGUUGUUAAAUCAUUCAGGGGCUCUCCUCCACAAAGCCCACCCACCAAUCCAAGUUAAGGACCUCUUUUCUGCAAGGAUCCCAACAAGAUGCCAACAGCAUGGUUUCUGGUGUUGUGGGACACCCAUGGAGACAGCAAGCAGGACACGAGACACGGGUGUGGUGACAGGUGCAGAGGCAUGAGCACCUGAUGGUCAAGAUGGUCAUUUUGACAUGA